AGGCUCACCCUUGGCCGUGCUGGCGCGGCACACCUUGGUAUGUGCCCUGACCAGGAAUGGAGCCCACAACCUUUUACUGUACUGGAAGACGUGCCAAUCCACUGAGCCACCGGGCCAGGACGGGCAAUAUUUAUUGAAUGCUGAAGAUGCCCAAGAACAACAGAACCCCAAACCACCAGGGACUUAAGGUCUUGGGGUGUGGCAGAUUGUGGAAAAAGACCGGCAGAAAGAACCUUGAGGGUGGAGGGAAGUUAAUUCCUCCCCGACAAUGGCCAUCAACAAGCCAAAGAGAGAGGCUUCAGAAGAAACCAACCCCUGCCAGCAACUUGAGCUUGGACUUCCAGCCUCCAGACCUAGAACCGAGAUGGCAGCAUAGGUAAACACCAGAGAUUGCUGCCUCGCACAACC